GAUGAACGCUGGCGGCGUGCCUAAUACAUGCAAGUCGAGCGAACAGAUGAGGAGCUUGCUCCUCUGACGUUAGCGGCGGACGGGUGAGUAACACGUGGAUAACCUACCUAUAAGACUGGGAUAACUUCGGGAAACCGGAGCUAAUACCGGAUAAUAUAUUGAACCGCAUGGUUCAAUAGUGAAAGACGGUUUUGCUGUCAAUUAUAGAUGGAUCCGCGCCGCAUUAGCUAGUUGGUAAGGUAACGGCUUACCAAGGCGACGAUGCGUAGCCGACCUGAGAGGGUGAUCGGCCACACUGGAACUGAGACACGGUCCAGACUCCUACGGGAGGCAGCAGUAGGGAAUCUUCCGCAAAGGGCGAAAGCCUGACGGAGCAACGCCGCGUGAGUGAUGAAGGUCUUCGGAUCGUAAAACUCUGUUAUUAGGGAAGAACAAAUGUGUAAGUAACUAUGCACGUCUUGACGGUACCUAAUCAGAAAGCCACGGCUAACUACGUG
rnacentral:rRNA from 1 species